rnacentral:lncRNA from 1 species
AAACAAUGGUUGUGAGGUUUCUGCAAUGGUAUUUCAACUGUCCACAUCAACUUACUAUUUGCCUUUAGUGUCCCUUUAAAUAUCUGGCUACUG